rnacentral:rRNA from 1 species
UCCCGCUGGGUUCGCGCCCGGCGGGGAGGUCCACAAAACUCAUGUUUUCCUUGCAGUCAGUAAAAGCGGUUCGUCCGCGAAAAUUAAAAGUUAAAACUUUCAACAACGGAUCUCUUGGUUCUCGCAUCGAUGAAGAACGCAGCGAAAUGCGAUAAGUAGUGUGAAUUGCAGAAUUCAGUGAAUCAUCGAAUCUUUGAACGCACAUUGCGCCCUCUGGUAUUCCGGAGGGCAUGCCUGUCCGAGCGUCGUCAAACCCCCUCAAGCUCCUUUGCUUGGUCAUGGCGGAAGAUCGCCUCCUCGGAGGCGUUCCCCGCUCAAAGGGAUCUGGCGUGCGGACCCGUACUCGCAGACGUAGUAAGCAAUUCUAUCGUCUGUCGGGCUCGGGCCGCUCCGCCGACGCAACCCACAUUUUUUCUAGGUUGACCUCGGAUCAGGUAGGGAUACCCGCUGAACUUAAGCAUAUCAAUAAGCGGAGGAAAAGAAACCAACAGGGAUUGCCUUAGUAACUGCGAGUGAAGCGGCAAAAGCUCAGAUUUGAAACCUGUCGCCUUUGGCGAUCGGAUUGUAAUCUGGAGAGACAUCUUCUGGCGGGCAGCCGGUCCAAGUUCCUUGGAACAGGACGUCGGAGAGGGUGAGAAUCCCGUAUCUGGCCGGUUUGUUCUGCCUUGUGAAGCGUCUUCGACGAGUCGAGUUGUUUGGGAAUGCAGCUCAAAAUGGGUGGUAAAUUUCAUCUAAAGCUAAAUA